ACAUGUCUGUAGAAAAGAAUGCACGACACAAGUGUUUUAGGCAUUUGGCAUGCAGGGUACAGUAGAUGUUAUGAUUUAUGAUGCACUUGGUAUUACCUGAGCAUUUGCUUGGCGUAAUCGAUGCUUGUGUUGCUUUGGCGUAAUCGAUGCUUGUGUUGCUUUGGCGUAUGCUUAUAAGAUGAGGACUUCCACCUGAAUGUCCAGAUUAGUUUGAUUGGACACAUCCCAAUUGUAUUGUCUAACCAUUGUGAAACUGGUCCAAUCUAUGAUGCGAUGCU
rnacentral:lncRNA from 1 species